rnacentral:rRNA from 1 species
GAUGAACGCUGGCGGCGUGCCUAAUACAUGCAAGUCGAGCGAACAGACGAGGAGCUUGCUCCUCUGACGUUAGCGGCGGACGGGUGAGUAACACGUGGAUAACCUACCUAUAAGACUGGGAUAACUUCGGGAAACCGGAGCUAAUACCGGAUAAUAUAUUGAACCGCAUGGUUCAAUAGUGAAAGACGGUUUUGCUGUCACUUAUAGAUGGAUCCGCGCCGCAUUAGCUAGUUGGUAAGGUAACGGCUUACCAAGGCAACGAUGCGUAGCCGACCUGAGAGGGUGAUCGGCCACACUGGAACUGAGACACGGUCCAGACUCCUACGGGAGGCAGCAGUAGGGAAUCUUCCGCAAUGGGCGAAAGCCUGACGGAGCAACGCCGCGUGAGUGAUGAAGGUCUUCGGAUCGUAAAACUCUGUUAUUAGGGAAGAACAAAUGUGUAAGUAACUAUGCACGUCUGACGGUACCUAAUCAGAAAGCCACGGCUAACUACGUG